CUCGAGUGGCGAACGGGUGAGUAACACGUGGGUGAUCUGCCCUGCACUUUGGGAUAGGCUUGGGAAACUGGGUCUAAUACCGAAUAUGACCACUUCUUGGAUGUUGUGGUGGAAAGCUUUUGCGGUGUGGGAUGAGCCUGCGGCCUAUCAGCUUGUUGGUGGGGUAAUGGCCUACCAAGGCGGCGACGGGUAUCCGGCCUGAGAGGGUGUACGGACACAUUGGGACCGAGAUACGGCCCAGACUCCUACGGGAGGCAGCAGUGGGGAAUAUUGCACAAUGGGCGCAAGCCUGAUGCAGCGACGCCGCGUGGGGGAUGAAGGCCUUCGGGUUGUAAACUCCUUUCGCUAUCGACGAAGCCACUUGUGGUGACGGUAGGUAGAUAAGAAGCACCGGCUAACUACGUGCCAGCAGCCGCGGUAAUACGUAGGGUGCAAGCGUUGUCCGGAAUUACUGGGCGUAAAGAGCUCGUAGGUGGUUUGUCGCGUCGUCUGUGAAAUCCCGGGGCUUAACUUCGGGCGUGCAGGCGAUACGGGCAUAACUUGAGUGCUGUAGGGGAGACUGGAAUUCCUGGUGUAGCGGUGAAAUGCGCAGAUAUCAGGAGGAACACCGAUGGCGAAGGCAGGUCUCUGGGCAGUAACUGACGCUGAGGAGCGAAAGCAUGGGUAGCGAACAGGAUUAGAUACCCUGGUAGUCCAUGCCGUAA
rnacentral:rRNA from 1 species